rnacentral:lncRNA from 1 species
AGUAACCCAUUUAAAAUAGCCCAUACCAGAGAGAGAGAGAAAUCCAUUUUUAGGUUUAGAGAUAGAGAAAGACAAAGAGAAAGCAUGGGAGAAGGGGAAAGUGCAGGGAAAAGAAGAGCAAGCGCAGAGCACUAGAAGAGAGAGAGUGAAACCAUUUAAGUACGCCAUAUCUUCCCACCUGUGGGACGGAUUCCAAAGAGAGACAGAGACUAAACCCAUCGCUCAAGGAGAAGGAGGAACACAGGUAAGGAUACUCCAGCCAUAUUUCGACUCGUACCUUCUUCCCUUUAUUUCGACUCAACAUAAUAGAGAACAAUCAACAUAAUAUUUCGGCCAUAUUAUGUUGUAAUUUCUUUCUUAUUGAUUGUUGCCCUAGGGUCUAUUCCUCUGAAAAAUUCCUCCACUUUUUUUUUUUUUGCUUGGACUCUGAUUUAUAGGUUGUAUCUCUCUCUCUUUUCUUCAUUGGAUCAAAGGAUUGUUGUCACGAUUGUGUUCAGUUUUUGUAUUUUAAUGGCAAUAUUAUGAUUUAUUCAUUGGUAA